CAAAAGAAACAAACACCAGGGAGAACCGUCAGGCUAUCUUUGGAGGAAAGUAAACAGCAGUUAAUCAUUCUCCCACAUGACAGGAAAACAAUGGCCGCGUCGGUCGGUCUACGCAAGCUAGCUCAUAGCCUAGCCACACAAAGGCCUGGCUAGCGCUAUGAUACUACCCCUGGUUUCACUAGCCAAGCCUCCAGCACCAAAACCAUACACAGCGUAGACAACAAUACAAUGACUGUAGACACAAGGGUGACUAAAGUGUCACGUCUGCACUCUUUGGCUGCGAUGGAAGACUAAGGACAUGGGAGAAGAUGUGAGGGAGUGUCAGAGGAAAGACCUGGAGAGGGAAGAAGUGUCUGGAAUGAAGUGUGCUGACACAUCAUCUCUGUUCACAGGCCCGCUGCAUGUUGGUGCCAGCUCAGCCACACCUGAUCAGCAUUCCAGAUGUUACACCAACAGCUAGCAUCACGGCGCUAAUUCCUAGUGUUGAUUUGGAGUCACCUGAUACCGCCCAGCCUAAAGAGACGACAGGAGAGAAGUUGAGGAACUCUUAAUGGCCUUCCCAGUCUUCCUCGAGUCUUGGCAGGAUGAGGCUCCCCAGAUGAUGACGACCAGCGCCUUGAGGAAGAUCUGUCUGCUAGAUCACUAGACGAGACAGAGACCAGACCCACUCCCUGACGGCCCAAACGCCAUCCAGCACCAAAUAAAGACAUCACGUACCAUCCAUCAGAGUGGCAAUACUUGUCUAUUCAAGUACACACACAGAUAAACUACAAGCAAAAUUAAGGAUAAACUACAAGAACGCAUAUGAAUAAACUACAAGUACACAUACGGAUAAACUUAGAAAUUCUAACAGCAGGUGAGUGAAUGGCAGUGCUGUUGGGACUCAUGAUGCCUUCAGUCGGGUUAGGGUAACACCUGAGUAAGUCUUGAGUUACUCCUAGGCUGUGGGUCUGAGUCCAGUUCAUUUACAAGUCUUAAACACGGCGGACUGGGUCAUUUUUGUGUUUCAUGCAGCAUUGUUCAAGGGGAAAAUAAAUACAUUGUUCCAAGAACAAAGAACAAAUGAAGUCCUCCUCUGGGUUUGUAUCUGUACUUCCUCUAAAGUUCAGACCUUACUGUGCAAAAAAUUCUAGGCUUCAUUUUAAUUCGAGCUUUUGGUGAAAGUUUGUUGACUUUCUUCCUGUAUUUUUUAUCUCCUGGUCCGUCCUGGCGUGUGUGUGUGUGUGUGUGUGUGUGUGUGUGUGUGUGUGUGUGUGUGUGUGUGUGUGUGUGUGUGUGUGUGUGUGUGUGUGUGUGUGUGUGUGUGUGUGUGUGUGUGUGUGUGUGUGUGUGUGUGAGAAAAGGGUUGGCAGUCUAGGAUUCAAGCACCAGCUUGUAUAAUCUCAAUGGAGCUGAUCCAUCUCCAAGAUACAGAUGGCUUUGAUAGUGCUCCCAAAACAUUGUUUUAGUGACAAUGCAAAAUAAUAGUGAAGGAUAGCUUUGCUCUCCGUGUAAUCUUGACUCUGCUUCCCGCCGUAUCUGAACAUGAUCCCAGACAGCGUUCAUGUAAUUCUUUGAGAGUUUCCUUCCAGAGGAUGAGAAUGACAUUUAUCCUUGCUGCGGACCGCCAUGAGAGCGGACACAACAAGCCCCUCUUUUCAGUGCCAACUGAAGCUAGUGAGCGCCUGUCAACACGCAGGGGGCCCGGGGAGCCAUUACCCAGCACCCACGGGGCCCUAACCCAAUACCCAGGGGGGCCCGUAGGAAAUACAGGCUGGAAUCCGCCCGUUUUAAACAUGUGUGAAUGUCUCCCAGUCUCCAGGGACCACCGCAGUCACUGGGCCAGGAAGACCGGGCGGCCACAAUUCAUUCCCAGUGACAUUCCUAGCGCCGGAUAAACCACAGCAAGUGCAGAGAAUAGGAGACCGCUUACGGUCUGAGCUAAACACUCGACACCAAGCGAUGCCGAGGCAGCCACAUGAAAUGUAUGCAUGUUCUUCCAGGUAUGUGAGCUAGUAGUUGAGUUCUCUUUUCGUGUCUUCUGCAGCUUCCUUGGCAAGAUCUCCUUAAAGAAAGAGAUCCUUGAUCUCAAUGGGCCCGACCUGUCUAAAUCAAAGUUAAUUAAAGCCAGAGAGAGAGGCCCCCCCAGGAGGUACCUGGCAGCAGGGGCAGUCUGCCCUACAGGUGUACUAACAGAGGCCUCUUUCAGGGUGCUCCCAUGGAGACGCCCGUCACCUGUCACCCUAUCCAGAAGACGACACACUUUACCGCACAAACACAGCCGGGGGCCUCGAUGACAACACACUCUGCGUUAGGAAAGAGAUAUUACCUCACUUUGAAGUCAGGGAGCGGCCAACUCAACACUCUGAGGAUGAGCAUCUGGGAGUCAAAAGAAAACUGUCAGCAAGUGAGCCAAGUUGAAACAGCUUGUGCUGGUUGCCAUGGAGGAAAUAAAUGAGCGAUGCAGUGGGAGCCAGUGAAUGAGGAAGCUGUAUUCAGGGGAAGAGAGCACCAACACCAACCGCCAUCUGACCCUGGGGCCGUUGGCCUCAUUAAACUAUUUGUGUUGUUUAGCAAAACCGUUCGACAACAAGCAGGGCACACAUCCAGCCCAAAGAGCACCCCUUUCUUUACUGCCCUGCUGACACUAAACCUUCACCAUAUAUAUAAUAGAUAUAGAUAUAUUAUAUAUAGGCUGGAAUUAAUUCAUCCUUGAUUCUCUAUACU